rnacentral:misc_RNA from 1 species
UACGUAGGAGCCAAGCGUUAUCCGGAAUCAUUGGGUUUAAAGGGACCGUAGGCGGGUUUAUAAGUCAGUGGUGAAAGUCUGCAGCUUAACUGUAGAACUGCCCUUGAUACUGUAGACCUUGAAUUAUUAUGAAGUGGUUAGAAUAUGUAGUGUAGCGGUGAAAUGCAUAGAUAUUAGAUGGAAUACCGAUUGCGAAGGCAGAUCACUAAUAAUAUAUUGACGCUGAUGGACGAAAGCGUAGGUAGCAAACAGG